CGAAACACUGGUUCCUGUAUGAUCAACAAAGUUAAGCAAUGUCAAGCCUGGUCAGUACCUAGAUGGGUGACCACUUUGGAAUACUAGGUGCUGUAA